GCGUCCGUAGCUCAGCUGGAUAGAGCGUCGGCCUCCGGAGCCGAAGGUCGCGGGUUCGAAUCCCGCCGGACGCG
rnacentral:tRNA from 1 species